rnacentral:rRNA from 1 species
AUUGAACGCUGGCGGCAUGCUUUACACAUGCAAGUCGAACGGUAACAGGCCGCAAGGUGCUGACGAGUGGCGAACGGGUGAGUAAUGCAUCGGAACGUGCCCAGUCGUGGGGGAUAACUAUCCGAAAGGAUAGCUAAUACCGCAUACGAUCUGCGGAUGAAAGCGGGGGACCUUCGGGCCUCGCGCGUUUGGAGCGGCCGAUGUCAGAUUAGGUAGUUGGUGGGGUAAAGGCUCACCAAGCCAACGAUCUGUAGCUGGUCUGAGUGGACGACCAGCCACACUGGGACUGAGACACGGCCCAGACUCCUACGGGAGGCAGCAGUGGGGAAUUUUGGACAAUGGGCGCAAGCCUGAUCCAGCAAUGCCGCGUGCAGGAAGAAGGCCUUCGGGUUGUAAACUGCUUUUGUACGGAACGAAACGGCUCUGGUUAAUACCUGGGGCUAAUGACGGUACCGUAAGAAUAAGCACCGGCUAACUACGUGCCAGCAGCCGCCGUAA